rnacentral:rRNA from 1 species
UACAGAGGGGGCAAGCGUUGUUCGGAAUUACUGGGCGUAAAGGGCGCGUAGGCGGCCUUCUAAGUCAGACGUGAAAUCCCCAGGCUUAACCUGGGAACUGCAUCCGAUACUGGAUGGCUUGAAUCCGGGAGAGGGAUGCAGAAUUCCAGGUGUAGCGGUGAAAUGCGUAGAUAUCUGGAGGAAUACCGGUGGCGAAGGCGGCAUCCUGGACCGGCAUUGACGCUGAUGAGCGAAAGCUAGGGGAGCAAACGGG